GCCUGGGUGGCUCAGUUGAUUAAGCAUCUGACUUUGGCUCAGGUUGUGAUCUCACGGUUUGUGAGUUCAAGUCCCGCUUCAGGUG
rnacentral:tRNA from 1 species